CCCUCCCCUGCCCUCCCCUCUUCUCUUCUUUCUCCUCCUGUCUCCCCUCCCCUCUCUUCACUCCCCUCCUUUCUUCUCCCUUCCCUUGCCUUCUCUUCCUUUCUCCUCCCCUCCUUUCCCUUUCCUUUCCUUCCUCCCCUCUCCUUUUGCCUUCUCCCCUCCACUCCACUUCACUCUCCUCUCCUCUCCUCGCCUCGCCUCACCUCGCCUCUACCCUUCAUUCUUUUGGUUGGUUUGUUUGGAGACCGAUUCUCGCUAUGUAUACAAGGCUAGCUUGGAGCAUUAGAAGUAAUCUAAGGUCUCACUGUAUAGCUCAGGCUAAUCUUGAACUUGUGAUCCUCCUCCCUCUUCUUCUGAAGUGCUAGGAUUACAGAGUGUUCUGGGGUUCCCACCACACCCAUUUCCACAUGUUUCUCCUCCUGGUAUGUGUACCACAACCCUGGGGGAAAAAAAAAAGACUUCCAAGAAGAACACACCCUGAUUCUCAACAAGGAAUUCCAUGGUAUGAAACCCUGCCCAAGAAAGUUCACACCUGAGGAGAGUUUGACUAAGUCUCCAAAGCCAGCGUUUUUUCCCGGGGAGGGGCUUAUCACACAUUCUUCUGUGGGCUGUUGCCUUGGGAAUGUUACUGCAUAGCAAGACAUUUUUGUCCAUCACACAUGUCUUCCCAUCACUCACUCACCAUAGGAUUGUCUGGAGCCAGUAACUACAAAGGCCUUGAGGUUCACAAGGUGGCAACCACAUCCUGGGACCUGGGAUACGUGUGUAUUUAUUUAAUGCUCCAGUUCCUUUCUAUGCUCUGCCCUGUGGUUUAUAAUGAUGCUUUUUACUUUAGAACUAAAUGUUCAUAUGCUUUCUAAAGAAAUAUUGCCCACAUUCGAAGACCAUUUGAAUGGGAAUAAAAACUACCUCACGAAGUCUAAGCUAGUUUCUACCUUGUCUGUUGAACAUCUGGUAAGUUCUCUCCUGGUAUGCUGCCUCAUAUUUGGACCCUACAUUUGUUCAUUUGUUUUAGAUCGUGUCUCAUGUAGCCCAAGCUGGACUCAAACCACUAUGUUGACAAGGAUGACUUUGAACUCUGAAUCUUCCUACUUCUGUUUCCGGAGUUCUAGGAUUACAGAUAUGCACCACAGUACACCUGGCUCCUUCAUGGUCCCUAUGUCUUUAAACUUCUAAACUUCGAUUUUCCAGACUUCAACAAUUCUGUGCUAAAAUUAUGGUCUUGUGAGGAGGAUUCAAGCUCAUCUGUACUCUACCACCACCUCUGCCUCCUGUAGAUCAAACAGCCAGAGAUUCCUGUUUCUUCAAGAGGCCUGCAACCACCCCCACCCUUGAAGGCCAAUGAUAAGUAGUUGUGGAAAAUGGAUUUCUGACUAUCCAGCCUCCUAAGAUUAAGAAAUGGACGUCUGAGGGAGAAGAUGAGGGCAGUAGAUGCUAUGGCUGUACUGGCUGGUUCUGUGUGUCAACUUGACUUACUUUAAGAGUCAUCGGAGAGGAAGGAGCCUCAGUUGAGAAAAUGCCUCCAUGAGAUCCAGCUGUAAGACAUUUUCUCAAUUAGUGAUUGAGGUGGGAGAACACAAGCUGAGCAAGCCAUGCGAAGCAAGCCAGUUAGCAGCAGCUCUCCAUCACCUCUGCAUCGGCUCCUGCCUCCAGGUUCCUGCCCUGCAUGAGUUCCUGUCUUGAAUUCCUCCAAAGAUGAACUGUGAUCUGAAAGUGCAAGCCAAAUAAACUCUUUCCUCCCCAACUUG
rnacentral:lncRNA from 1 species